rnacentral:rRNA from 1 species
GAUGAACGCUGGCGGCGUGCUUAACACAUGCAAGUCGAACGAUGAAGCCCAGCUUGCUGGGUGUGUUAGUGGCGAACGGGUGAGUAACACGUGAGUAACCUGCCCUUAACUCUGGGAUAAGCCUGGGAAACUGGGUCUAAUACCGGAUAGGAGCGUCCACCGCAUGGUGGGUGUUGGAAAGAUUUAUCGGUUUUGGAUGGACUCGCGGCCUAUCAGCUUGUUGGUGAGGUAAUGGCUCACCAAGGCGACGACGGGUAGCCGGCCUGAGAGGGUGACCGGCCACACUGGGACUGAGACACGGCCCAGACUCCUACGGGAGGCAGCAGUGGGGAAUAUUGCACAAUGGGCGCAAGCCUGAUGCAGCGACGCCGCGUGAGGGAUGACGGCCUUCGGGUUGUAAACCUCUUUCAGUAGGGAAGAAGCGAAAGUGACGGUACCUGCAGAAGAAGCACCGGCUAACUACGUG